CACUUCAGGAUCCAUGGUGUCGAUUCACACGUGCAGAAUCCUACAAGCAUAAUUCAUGCAUAACAGGUUUCCUUGAAGGCUAUUUCAUUCUGGCAUUUUUGUGCAUGGUUCUGUUCCUCCGUAUUUCCUGAAGAUGAAAGGGAGGCGGGCCCUUUGAUAUGUUAAGCGGUCGCAUGGAGAUGGACGGAGUGAGAUUCCCCCCGGAGCAGGGAUUUGUCUGGGGUGACGAGGUUUGGGAUGCUGAGGCAGCCGGUGCGCUCUUUCAGCUCUGAAGCCAGCCACAGACUGCACUGCAACAGCCCCGCAAGUUUGAUCAGGCACGACACAACAGGCAAACUUUUUUAGAAGUUGCUUCUUCCUUUUGGCACAUAUUUGUUGACAACUUGUGUACAAUACAGAAGAUGGCAGUCGUCGAAAUGACCUUCAAAUAUCAUGCAGAAAAGCAUGUUUUUCAUCUGUGACUCAAAAGAAAACAAAACAAAAACAAAUCAGGACCGAAUCUCACCUAGCAUCCGAUUUUUCCUCAAUACCAAGUCAAAGUGGGAUUUUAUUUUAGUUAGUGACACUGCAAUGUUCUAAUGAUUCUUUGUGUGACCCCAUAGACCGCAGAAUAAGAGCUCCUGCACUGGAUUAUGGGGUCACAGUCCUGGCUUUGGCAGGCAGUCUGUACCCAGCUGAAGGAUCAUUUUAAUUGGUUCACAAGUAUGUAAAUAUACUCCACGUGAUCACUUACUGCAAAGCCUAUUUAAGCUGCUGCAUUCACAGAUUUCCCAACUAGGAGAGUGCAAGUAAAAACUAGGCCAUCGGUCUUCUUGGAGUGAAUAACGAUUCUGUAUUUUAUACAUACUGAUAUCAUUCUGGCAACACAAGGCAAUGAAGAAGUAUUACCAGUCAGAAAAUAAUUAAUUAAAUAACCGAAAUAAACAACAAAAUAGAGUGUAAACUGGAGGGAGGGUGAAAGUAAGGGAAAAAAAACCUGUUCACAGCCCACAAGCGGAGGUGAAAAUGCUGUGGUUUAAAGCGAACGUCAGGUAGCAUUCAGAGGAAUCUGAGAUUGUAACCUAGAUAUCAGCAACAGAGAGCCCUGACAUUCCGGAGGAAGGCUGUCCAACUCUGGCUCCAAAAAUACAUAAUGCAUGAUAUAUGGAAAGUUGUUUUUUGUAAUUGUCUUAUAUCUGAAUUUUAUAGACUGCUUCCUGCAUACAAAAUACAUUUUCUGGCACUCUAUGUAAAAAAUGAAGAUUCCCUAGUUAGGCCUAUUUAGGCUUGGAUAAGCACUGACUUUAGUGUAAUCUUAUCACCAUGGGACUGGGUGUAAUUGCUGAGAUACUUCAAGUCUGUGCGAUACAAUCAUUUCGAAGGCACAGCCGAUUGAUAUCCAGAGGCUGAUGGGGAGACAGGUGCCCACGACCGUAAUGGAACAGUAACUGUGGCCAAAAGCGCGGAUGACAGCAAUGGCCGUGAGUCAUCUCUGUUGUGAGUAACGAAGAAACUGAGGAUCACUGCAUACUGGGCUGUGGCUUAAGGAAAAACACAUCUGGAGUGUCUUUUUUGGGGGGUUGUUCAAUCACCCCACUGCGGUGCUGGUGAGGUUCCGGACUCCUAGAAUAAUGAGUGAGAAUUAAUGCUGCCCCAUAAGUCAACGCCUUGGGUGAUCAGCUGCGUUCUGUCUUCGUCUGAUUAGGCAGUAUUCCAUCGCCAAAAGUUAUCUCCCAACACUGAGCAAAAGCCACCAAUAAGUGCCUUGUAACCUGCUGCUGUUAAUUAUUAUUAUUAAUAAUGAUAAUAAUAAUAAUAACAACAAUAAUGAUAAUAAUCGCAUUAUCCAUGUCCUAUUAGCCUAAAAGGCUACAUUCUUUUUUUUCUGUCCUACGCUCUCAGCAAUAAGUGUUAGGAAUGUUUCCUUCCUUACGUAAAAUACACUUACAAUAUCCAGCUAUUGCUACAUUCAAACAAUACUAUAGAUACAUCAUUUGAGAAUGAAAACAAACUACAUCAUCCAUGACCUUGAUAAACCAGUAUUAUCACAUGCUGGACCUGUAGCCAGAAAUGUUGUUUGUUGGGGGUGGGGUUUGACCACCAUACCAAUACAGCUGUAGCAGCAGAUUUUGAGCCGCAGACCCAUUAGUGUGCCUGCCACCCCCCAAACACACACACACACACACAUCCAGGCAAGGCCCAUCAGGUCCACCAUCACUCACAGUCCGCGUUCAAAAUCGUCAUUGAACUACAUGUCCAUGUGCCUGAUUGAUAAUGGAAACAAUUUAUAUAUCCUUAUUUUACCACGUGCAUGGCUGUCAGAUAUAAAGCCUGGAUUUCUGUAAUCGGCGCAAAGUUCACGUGAGGCCAAGUUAUUAAAGUGUGAAUCUCAUUAUUCAAUGACAUGCUGCAGACAUUAAUAAAAACGCUAAACGGAAAAGACGAUAAGUCACACGAGUGUACUGUGAGGAUUCUUGCGGUUGACCUGUUGACGUACGAAUAUGUAAUUAACAAAAAUAACGAUAUGAAAGCACAAAUUGCUUUUUCGUAUUUCUGCAGCUACGUAACUGAGCAAUAUGGAUGAUUCACACGCUCAGCCACACUGGCCUCUCUUCCCGGCUACGAAAUGAAACGUACUAAAAAGAAGGGGAAUGCGCAGUUCAAAUUACCAUAAUAAUUAGGUGGCAAAUACUAAAUGGCUCAGAUGUAGUUUUUCAUAGCUAGAAAUGGAUGUUUGCCACUUAGAUUAACCCGAGCUUGUAUCUCAACAGUACGCAGGUCAAGGUCUAUGACAAAAAUACAAAGUGGUCGAAAUAUUGAACACUUCUGUCACAUGUGGUUAGUUGGGCCUGGACCUUUAUAGGUUUUUUCCCCCACCUCUGCUGUACCUUGGUUAUCUUUUUCCAUUUAUACUUACGUUUAAGCAAGCUAUAACUUAAUCACUUUUGAUGUUUUUAAGUCUUUGUUAAGCGCUUUGGGGGCACUGUUGGGAAGGGUGCUACAGAAAACUUAAUUAAAAAGUGGGUCAGGU